rnacentral:rRNA from 1 species
UACGUAGGGGGCAAGCGUUGUCCGGAAUCAUUGGGCGUAAAGCGUGCGUAGGCGGCUAUCUAAGUCGGGUGUGAAAGCCCCGGGCUCAACCUGGGAAUUGCAUUUGAGACUGAAUAGCUAGGGUACGGUAGAGGGAAGUGGAAUUUCCGGUGUAGCGGUGAAAUGCGUAGAUAUCGGAAGGAACAUCAGUGGCGAAAGCGACUUCCUGGACCAGUACCGACGUUCAGGCACGAAAGCGUGGGGAGCAAACAGG